UUUUUCAGGUGGGACUACCCGCUGAACUUAAGCAUAUCAAUAAGCGGAGGAAAAGAAACUAACCAGGAUUCCCCUAGUAACGGCGAGUGAAGAGGGAAAAGCCCAAAUUUGUAAUCUGGCUCUUUCAGAGUCCGAGUUGUAAUUUUAAGAACUGUUUUCCGUGCUGGACCAUUUCUAAGUCUGUUGAAAAAUAGCAUCAUUGAGGGUGAUAAUCCCGUUCAUGAUAUGGACUACCAGUGCAAUGUGAUACAGUUUCUAAGAGUCGAGUUGUUUGGGAAUGCAGCUCAAAGUGGGUGGUAAAUUCCAUCUAAGGCUAAAUAUAGGUGAGAGACCGAUAGCAUACAAGUACCGUGAGGGAAAGAUGAAAAGAACUUUGGAAAGAGAGUUAACAGUACGUGAAAUUGUUGUAAGAGAAACAAUUAAAGUUAGCCUUGUGCUUGUUAGUUCAGCUCUUUAACUAGGGUGUAUUCUAAUGAUGUCACGGACCAACAUCAGUUUUUGGGUGCUGGAUAAGGGCUCCGGAAAUGUAGCAGUCUUGGCUGUGUUAUAGUCUGGGGUUUGGAUACAGUGCUUGGGACUGAGGAUAUCUGCAGCAAGCCAGUCAAAUGGCCGCCCUUUUUAAGGGCUCCCCUGCUGAGGAUGUUGGUGACAAUAGCUUUAA
rnacentral:rRNA from 1 species